AUUCCAUAUAGAUUUUUUUUUUUAAAGAGCACAUUGCUUAAGGCAGACACUCUACUAAUUAUGCCAAACUAUUGUUUGCUUUUCUUCCUGGAGUUGGGUUGGUUGGGAAUGCAGCCCAAAGCAGGUGGUAAACUCCAUCUAAGGUAUUUAUACCGGCAGAAGAUCGAUAGUCAAGAGGUACCGUAAGG
rnacentral:ncRNA from 1 species